rnacentral:rRNA from 1 species
AUUGAACGCUGGCGGCAUGCCUAACACAUGCAAGUCGAACGGCAGCACAGCAGUAGCAAUACUGUGGGUGGCGAGUGGCGGACGGGUGAGGAAUACGUCGGAAUCUGCCCAGUUGUGGGGGAUAACUAGCCGAAAGGUUAGCUAAUACCGCAUACGACCGAGAGGUGAAAGCGGGGGACCGCAAGGCCUCGCGCGAUUGGAUGAGCCGACGUCGGAUUAGCUAGUUGGCGGGGUAAAGGCCCACCAAGGCGACGAUCCGUAGCUGGUCUGAGAGGAUGAUCAGCCACACUGGAACUGAGACACGGUCCAGACUCCUACGGGAGGCAGCAGUGGGGAAUAUUGGGACAAUGGGCGCAAGCCUGAUCCAGCAAUGCCGCGUGUAUGAAGAAGGCCUUCGGGUUGUAAAGCACUUUAUCAGGAACGAAAAGACGUUGGAUUAAUAACUCUGACGUGCUGACGGUACC